rnacentral:rRNA from 1 species
AUUGAACGCUGGCGGCAUGCCUUACACAUGCAAGUCGAACGGCAGCACGGGUGCUUGCACCUGGUGGCGAGUGGCGAACGGGUGAGUAAUACAUCGGAACAUGUCCUGUAGUGGGGGAUAGCCCGGCGAAAGCCGGAUUAAUACCGCAUACGAUCUACGGAUGAAAGCGGGGGACCGUCGGGCCUCGCGCUAUAGGGUUGGCCGAUGGCUGAUUAGCUAGUUGGCGGGGUAAAGGCCUACCAAGGCGACGAUCAGUAGCUGGUCUGAGAGGACGACCAGCCACACUGGGACUGAGACACGGCCCAGACUCCUACGGGAGGCAGCAGUGGGGAAUUUUGGACAAUGGGCGAAAGCCUGAUCCAGCAAUGCCGCGUGUGUGAAGAAGGCCUUCGGGUUGUAAAGCACUUUUGUCCGGAAAGAAAUCCUUGGCUCUAAUACAGUCGGGGGAUGACGGUACCGGAAGAAUAAGCACCGGCUAACUACGUG